rnacentral:rRNA from 1 species
GGAGUAUGUGGUUUAAUUCGAUGCAACGCGAAGAACCUUACCUGGUCUUGACAUCCCGGAGACCCUUAGGAAACUAGGGGGUGCUUCCAUCUGGAAGAAUCUGGAGACAGGUGCUGCAUGGCUGUCGUCAGCUCGUGUCGUGAGAUGUUGGGUUAAGUCCCGCAACGAGCGCAACCCUUGCCUUUAGUUGCCAGCAGUUCGGCUGGGCACUCUAAAGGGACUGCCGGUGUUAAACCGGAGGAAGGUGGGGAUGACGUCAAGUCCUCAUGGCCUUUAUGACCAGGGCUACACACGUACUACAAUGGCCGAUACAAAGGGCAGCGACACUGCGAGGUGAAGCCAAUCCCGUAAAAUCGGUCUCAGUCCGGAUUGGAGUCUGCAACUCGACUCCAUGAAGUUGGAAUCGCUAGUAAUCGUGGAUCAGCAUGCCACGGUGAAUACGUUCCCGGGCCUU